rnacentral:rRNA from 1 species
GACGAACGCUGGCGGCGUGCUUAACACAUGCAAGUCGAACGGUAAGGCCCUUCGGGGUACACGAGUGGCGAACGGGUGAGUAACACGUGGGUGAUCUGCCCUGCACUUCGGGAUAAGCCUGGGAAACUGGGUCUAAUACCGGAUAGGACCACUGCCUGCAUGGGUGGUGGUGGAAAGCUUUUGCGGGGUGGGAUGGGCCCGCGGCCUAUCAGCGUGUUGGUGGGGUGAUGGCCUACCAAGGCGACGACGGGUAGCCGGCCUGAGGGGGUGACCGCCCACACUGGGACUCAGAUCCGGCCCAGACUCCUACGGUAGGCAGCAGUGGGGAAUAUUGCACAAUGGGCGCAAGCCUGAUGCAGCGACGCCGCGUGAGGGAUGACGGCCUUCGGGUUGUAAACCUCUUUCAGCACCGACGAAGCGCAAGUGACGGUAGGUGCAGAAGAAGGACCGGCCAACUACGUGCCAGCAGCCGCAGUAA